ensembl:lncRNA
GGGUUGUGUGUCGGGGUGUGUGUCGGGGUGUGUUUCGGGGGGUGUGUUUCGAGGUGUGUUUCGAGGUGUGUUUCGGGGUGUGUUUUCAGGUGUGUUUCAGGGUGUGUUUUUGGGGUGUGUGUCGGGGUGUGUGUCGGGGUGUGUUUCGAGGUGUGUGUCGGGGUGUGGUUUCGGGGUGUGUUUCGAGGUGUGUUUCGGGGUGUGGUUUCGGGGUGUGUUUCGAGGUGUGUUUCGAGGUGUGUUUCGGGGUGUGUGUCGGGGUGUGUUUUCAGGUUGUGUUUGGGGUGUGAGCUCUGUGGUGGAAUAUUGGUUUGUAUUUAGUCCUCCCUCUGUUUUACUUAUGUCCUCUGUUAUGCAACAUGCGUAGUCAUGGUAACUUUGUCUUCUGUUGUUGUUAUCCCUUAAUCUUCUAUUUUCUGGCGUUGUACCUGA